GCUUAUUUUUUUUCACUUUUUACGUUCAUUUGUCCACCCUCCACUUUCCUUUCUCUUGCAUGACCCUUUUUGGGGAAAAGGAAACUUUUUUUCCUUUUUAUUUUCGAGAUUUGGGGAUUUUUUGUUGACGAUGGAUCAGUAAUUGCAUUUCAUAUCACAAAAAACCCUUUUAAUUCUCUUUGUUUGUUUUCAUUAAUGUUGUAUCUCACAGGACACAUCCCUGUGUCUGUUUCCUGUGUUGGAUUUGACCACAUCCUCUAACAUUCACCAUUUUGCCUGAUCCUCAUAACGCUUCUCUGCAGGACGGAUGGAUACAGUGUCUGCUACAGUAUGUCAUGUGUGCUCACUUGCUGCUGUAUUCAUGAGUGGAAUCGUUGCUAACAUUAAUGAUAAUAUAUGGAGCGACCCUCUUGACCGUGAACUGAAUUUGUUUUAUAAACAAUUUAUGUACGUUUUUAAAAUGAUCUGUCCGUGUCCUUAUAAUGGUGUUAUAUGUAGGACAAAUACAUAUAAUAGGCAUCAUAGAUCCCGCUGUGCUGUUUAAGUUACAAGGAUAUUUACUUAUGAGUAGCCUUGUGGGGGGGGGUGGUCUUAUGUUAAAUAUACUGCACUAUUGCAACACCAUAACAGCAUAAUCCAGCCAAAAGUACAUUUGUUUGUAAUGUGGUUUUGUAAUCAGAAAUGAGGAAUUUCAUGGCUAAGCAAGAAGAAAAAUUAUAAGGCUCAAGACAGGGACAAACGGCGAACCUGUCAGCCAGAAUAUGCAGUCUGUUACUUGGACACAUAAUCGUCGACUACUGCUGUGUUUCUAAAUAUUAUUGUCUUAUAAUUUAAGCAAAAGGCAAGCUCUCUGUUAUCAUGCAUUACAAAUGGAUCAAAGCGAUCUGCAAAUCAUUGAAUUGGGAAUGGAUCGCUAGGAACAUUGACCUUUACAUACAACUAUUUUCUUUUGUGGAAGUUCUAGGAUAUUUAGAUGUUUAUAAUGAUGACCAAACUCUUGUUCUCGACUCCAAAUUGUGUCUAGCUCCCUUGCUUUCUAUGCUAGUUGAUCAAUGCAAAUCAUUGAACGCAACACAUUCAGGUUAUACAUUUUGGCAUUUGUGGUUGAUACUGAAUGAAAACCGGCAUCUCCUAGCUCCUACUUACUUGUUAAAACGGAUGACUAAAAGUGCAUAAAUCAUCCAUCCACUAUAGUUGGAGAAUCCAUGAUUUGAGUCAGAUCUCUCCUUCAAUCUCCUCAGAGACCACUGCUGAAACUGUAGGUGUAGUGUUUAAUCCCUCAAGUGAACAAAGGAACUGUGCGUCUGAUUUUUAUCCGCACACACCCACCCGAGUGGAGGAAUUGUUAUUCAAGGCCCUUUGAUCAUUCUUCAUAUGGAUUACUGGCCCAGGGAUUCCAGCUUUCCUUAUUCAUGCUAAUUGCGCCCAUCACUUGAACUCUGUGUGCCUUUUCCACACUGCGGGUUGCAAUUCUGCAUAGAUGUGAUUGCAUUGUUGUGCUUCAGGCCUGAUGGUUUUCUAGAGUGUGUUCACACCAUUCGCAUGAACAGCCAUCAGAGUACCCAGUUAAUGUCAGCAAAGAGCAAUACUGCAGUACCAAUGCUGUCGUUUUUUUCUUCACCCUUCCGUUUUUCUCACAGUUAGGCACAAUGUCUCUCUUUGGCCCACAACAUUUUCCUCUCACACCCUCGACUUUUGUGACACCUUGACCUCCUCCCGGUCCAUUCUGCUCCAUUUCUUCCGUCUUCUUUCUUCCUCUGCCUCAACAUCCACCCAUCUCCCAAAGAGCCUCUAAAGGAGGGGCAUCUUGUCCAGCUGCUAGGUGGUGGUGGUGGUGUCUGGGGAGCAACUGCACCGAUCUGUCUAUGGAAAGGGCGUUGGCCCUCCACCUGCCCCCCUGCCCCUACAUCGCCUGCCUCUCCCCAGGGACCGGCUAGUGGCUGCAGGCCAGCAAGGCACAGAAUCCCUGUACAGUCAGCCCCUCUGCAGAGCUCUAGCCACCUCCUCCUCCUCCUCCUCCUCCUCCCUCUAUCUCCUCCUCCUCCUCCUCCUCCUCCCUCUAUCUCCUCAUUCUCCUCAUUCAUGCAAGGCUGCGGUGAAUGCAGAUUUGCAUACCAGAGUCCAUUGCUGCACAUCGUACUUGGCUUCUUCCUUAUUCUUCUUCUAUUUUCUUUUCAGCUGGUCCUGAAAUGUGGAUGAUUAAGUCUUUCACACCGCCACUCUUUGUGACCUGUCGUUCACAGUGCAUAUUGAUGCAAUCAUCGUUCCCCUUGUAUCUGUUGUUUCUCUUUGCAUGUACUCAGAAUUCACCAGCCAUUUCUCUUAUCCGUAUCCUCAUGUUCAAUCAAUUGCUGCCCUUUUUCAAAUCGUUUUUUUUUUGGUGCAGAGAGAAAUGUUUGAGGACCUUCUAUCUGUGAUUGAUGCUCGCUGUGCCUUUUAAAGACUGCGGUAUUUUGGAAUUACUAAAGGCUUGCAUAGAACAUGCAUGUGUGAUGGAUAUAUAUAUUAUCAUAAAAUAACGACCCCAUGGGUUUCAAUAGAAGGGCUUCGACUUGGCGUGUGGACUGACUGAAGCAACAUAAGGGAACAUAUGGGGGAGACUACAUGAAGUGCUCUGUGGGAGGUCUGGGCUGGACACCACACUGCAUCCUGUCCUACUCCCAAUACAUGUUUCUGGCUUCCAGAUACAAAAACUCUGAACUGGGUCAUCUUCCCAGUCAUGUUUUUAUUUGGGUAUUGUAAACCCUUAAAAUAUUUUAAUGGCGAGUCUGCUGUUUUUGAGGGAGGUUCUGUCACCAGAGUUGUGCUACUCCAUUUCUUUUGUAGAAAGAGAGAGUAGCGAAGUUUAUUUUGUCUAGAGUUUAACCUCAAUACUUGCCAGUGACAGCAACUAUUCUAUCAGACUAAACUGCAAAUAAGAUGCAAUUCUUCUUGAAAUCGUAUUUAUAUAAAGCACGUGAAGAUUAAUUUUGGUAGAAUUCAUAUCCUUGUCGGGGCUCUUUGGGUCCUUUAUGUGUAACAAAUUAACAUUCAUUAAUGCUAAAACUUGAGAACCUUUGAGGUGAGGUGCCAUUGCCCUGUUCCUUUAAGGUGAGAAUACGUAUUUCGUAAGCCGGCUUCCAUGUGUCAAAUGUUUGUCGUGGAGUCGUGUCAGACACCGGAUGUGUCUAACGAUUACGAUUGAACCAAUGAAAGGUAGACCGUAGUA